rnacentral:rRNA from 1 species
UGACGGUAGCUUACCAGAAAGGGACGGCUAACUACGUGCCAGCAGCCGCGGUAAUACGUAGGUCCCGAGCGUUGUCCGGAUUUAUUGGGCGUAAAGCGAGCGCAGGCGGUUUGAUAAGUCUGAAGUUAAAGGCUGUGGCUCAACCAUAGUACGCUUUGGAAACUGUCGAACUUGAGUGCAGAAGGGGAGAGUGGAAUUCCAUGUGUAGCGGUGAAAUGCGUAGAUAUAUGGAGGAACACCGGUGGCGAAAGCGGCUCUCUGGUCUGUAACUGACGCUGAGGCUCGAAAGCGUGGGGAGCGAACAGGAUUAGAUACCCUG